rnacentral:rRNA from 1 species
CACGUAGGGCGCGAGCGUUGUCCGGAAUUAUUGGGCGUAAAGAGCUCGUAGGCGGCCUGUUGCGUCCGCUGUGAAAGCCCGGGGCUUAACCCCGGGUCGGCAGUGGAUACGGGCAGGCUAGAGGUAGGUAGGGGAGAAUGGAAUUCCCGGUGUAGCGGUGAAAUGCGCAGAGAUCGGGAGGAACACCAAUGGCGAAAGCAGGUACCUGGACUAUUACUGACGCUCAGCUGCGAAAGCUAGGGGAGCA